AGUCGAGGGGUAUUUAUCUUCGGAUAAAGAGACCGGCGCACGGGUGCGUAACGCGUAUGCAAUCUACCUUUUACAGAGGGAUAGCCCAGAGAAAUUUGGAUUAAUACCUCAUAGUAUAAUGACUCGGCAUCGAGAUAUUAUUAAAGUCACAACGGUAAAAGAUGAGCAUGCGUCCCAUUAGCUAGUUGGUAAGGUAACGGCUUACCAAGGCUACGAUGGGUAGGGGUCCUGAGAGGGAGAUCCCCCACACUGGUACUGAGACACGGACCAGACUCCUACGGGAGGCAGCAGUGAGGAAUAUUGGACAAUGGGCGCAAGCCUGAUCCAGCCAUGCCGCGUGCAGGAUGACGGUCCUAUGGAUUGUAAACUGCUUUUAUACGAGAAGAAACACUGCUUCGUGAAGCAGCUUGACGGUAUCGUAAGAAUAAGGAUCGGCUAACUCCGUGCCAGCAGCCGCGGUAAUACGGAGGAUCCAAGCGUUAUCCGGAAUCAUUGGGUUUAAAGGGUCCGUAGGCGGUUUAAUAAGUCAGUGGUGAAAGCCCAUCGCUC
rnacentral:rRNA from 1 species